ensembl:lncRNA
ACAAGAACAAUGACAUAAUGAGGGAGGUACCUGGAUGGGGAUAACCUAAUGGGGGGAGGCACCUAGGAUGACACAAUGGAGGGGAGGUACUACAGAGGUUACUGAUAUUCUAAUGAUGUCUAAAAUGGAUAGACCUUUAUCCUGUCAAACAUUAAGAAGGAAUGAUUAUAGCCUAAAGAUAUAAAACCUUUAUCUUAUCAAACAUAAAGAGGUUAUAACUUGAGGCAGAGUAAACAGGACAAUGGGGAAACUAGGUCAGGACAUGAAAAGGGAAAUGUGGCACAACAAACAAAAACACAAGCCUCUGUGCAAACCCUGUGAAGGAGCUUCUCUAUGAAUUAGCAUUAAGAACUUUUUAUUAUCUUUUGAGAAAACAAACAAACAAAAAAUCACGCCAAAAAGAUACAAAGUUAAAUGGAAUUAAGUCACUGAAGUUCAAUGCAUUUUGGGAGAAUAUUCUGAGAAAAAUGUUAAAUAUUAAUGAGUAAAUUGUUUUCAACAAAUUAGCCGUCUCCAAUUGUUUUGCCUGAAGGCAGCAAGGUUUCCCAUGGGAAAACACUUUCCUUUAGUUCUUCAGGAUGGCAAUUUCUACUUUACUCAUAGUUCUUUGCAGUGAUUCCAACCUUUUAAGGCACAACAACAAAAUGAUAGACUUAUAAUUUAUUAGGACUAGAAUCCUCAUUCCACAUUACAGAUUAAUAGGCUUUUGUGGGUGAGGCAGGGAAUUAACCAUAAUGGGCUAGGUGUUUUAUGAGGAAAUGCAUUCUUUGUGUGUGCCAAGGAGGGAGGGCAGAAACAUGAGGAUCAUAUGACUCUUCAACUUUUGCCAAAGCUCAGGGAAAACAUUGACACGUUGGGGAAAGCCUUUUCUUUUCCUUGUUGCCCAUUCAUCUGUGUAAGAUUAAUUCUAAGAUGAGACUACACUGAGAAGAUCCGACAACUACAAAGCAGUACAGAGGCAAGCUCUAAGAAAUGUACAAUUUCAUAGCCUCUUGAAGAGAAAUAAUAUAUUUUUCUUUGAUCCAGUGAUACAAUUUCUAGGCUUAAAUAAUGAGAUCAAAGAAGAAAAAGACUCAUAUAUAAAAAGUAUUUAUAGCAGAUCUUUUGUUAGUGACAAAGAAUUGGAAGCUAAAAGAAUGACUGAACAAUUGGGAAAUGGCUGAACAGAUUAUGCUAUAAGAAUAUAAGGGAAAAUUAUUGUGAUAUAAUAAAUGAUGCAAGAGUCGGUUUCAGACAAACCUGAGAAGACUUUUAUGAACUGACAUGUAGUAUAAGAGUAGAAUCACAAGAACUGAUAAAAUGACAUUUCAGUCAAAAACAACUUUGAAAGAUUGAUCAGUGCAAUGACCAACCAUGAUUCCAAAGAAAUGAUGAAGUUUGCUAUCUACCUCUUGAUAGAAAGGUGGUAAAGUUAAGAUAAAAAAUUACAUUUAUUUUCAGACAUGGUUAAUAAAGUGAUUUGUUUGGCUCGACUAUGCAUAUUUUAUUUUUGUUUUGAUUUAGGGAAGUUGUGGGAUAUGGGAAAAAAGAGGGGGGGAGAUGUAGAAACAGUCAUUUA